rnacentral:rRNA from 1 species
UACGUAGGGUGCGAGCGUUAAUCGGAAUUACUGGGCGUAAAGCGUGCGCAGGCGGUUCGUUGUGUCUGAUGUGAAAGCCCCGGGCUCAACCUGGGAACGGCAUUGGAAACUGGCGAGCUAGAGUGUGGCAGAGGGGGUGGAAUUCCGCGGUGUAGCAGUGAAAUGCGUAGAGAUGCGGAGGAACACCGAUGGCGAAGGCAGCCCCCCUGGGCUGACACUGACGCUCAGGCACGAAAGCGUGGGGAGCAAACAGG